rnacentral:rRNA from 1 species
UACGUAGGGUGCAAGCGUUUAAUCGGAAUUACUGGGCGUAAAGCGUGCGCAGGCGGCUAUGCAAGACAGAUGUGAAAUCCCCCGGGCUCAACCUGGGAACUGCAUUUGUGACUGCAUAGCUAGAGUACGGUAGAGGGGGAUGGAAUUCCGCGUGUAGCAGUGAAAUGCGUAGAUAUGCGGAGGAACACCGAUGGCGAAGGCAAUCCCCUGGACCUGUACUGACGCUCAUGCACGAAAGCGUGGGGAGCAAACAGG